AUGAUUUAAAGAAGGAUAAAAAAAACUUCUCUUUUGCUUCAAGCUUGAAAAUCCCUCCAAACUAGUUCUUGAUUCAACGAAUAUAGAUGUUUAGGACUUGAUUUGAUGGAGUUUCUUGGUAUAGAAAGGAUCUUGGAAGCUUUGAGAAUGGUUAUCCAUGGUGGUAGGAAGGGAAAAGUGAGAGAGGUAAGAGAGAGGGAGAGUAGGCGUGAGAAUGGGGGGGGAGGGGAGAGAAAUUUUGUUUUUGUUUAAGACCCAAGCUUGCUCCCCAAGCUACUUAAUUAAU
rnacentral:lncRNA from 1 species